GCAAGUCGAGCGAGAAAGCACUUCGGUGCGAGUACAGCGGCGGACGGGUGAGUAACGCGUGGGAAUAUGCCCUUCUCUAAGGAAUAGCCUCUGGAAACGGAGAGUAAUACCUUAUACGCCCUUUGGGGGAAAGACUUAUCGGAGAAGGAUUAGCCCGCGUUAGAUUAGGUAGUUGGUGGGGUAAUGGCCUACCAAGCCUACGAUCUAUAGCUGGUUUGAGAGGAUGAGC
rnacentral:rRNA from 1 species